rnacentral:rRNA from 1 species
UGGGAAGUAUUGCACAAUGGGCGAAAGCCUGAUGCAGCAACGCCGCGUGAAGGAUGAAGUAUUUCGGUAUGUAAACUUCUAUCAGCAGGGAAGAUAACGACGGUACCUGACUAAGAAGCCCCGCUACUACGUGCCAGCCAGCCGCGGCUGAAUAAUCGUAGGGGGCAAGCGGGUUCAAUUCCGGAUUUUACUGGGUGUAAAGGGAGCGUAGGCGGCAGCGCAAGUCAGAAGUGAAAGCCCGGGGCUUAACUCCGGGACUGCUUUUGAAACUGUGCGGCUAGAUUUCAGGAGAGGUAAGCGGAAUUCCUAGUGUAGCGGUGAAAUGCGUAGAUAUUAGGAGGAACACCAGUGGCGAAGGCGGCUUACUGGACUGACAAUGACGCUGAGGCUCGAAAGCGUGGGGAGCAAACAGGAUUAGAUACC